UUUCACACAGCUUCUGAGAGUUUUCUACCUUUUCUAUUUCCCACAACCAGUACCACUGAUACAAUGUGAAUUACAGUCAGCAGUUCUGACUACAAAGACAAAAAACAGUCUCCCAGCCAAAAUCACAGGAACGAGAAUGAGAUUUAUUGGCUUCCAGAAAAACACCUGGUUUGCAUGGAAGAGAUUGCUCCUUUAUGUAAAAGAGUAACACCUGUGAAUGUGUCAGAAGUAGAUCUACCACAUACUGCGCUGCCUGGAGAUGAAGAAAAAUGCAUUAAAUUCUGCUGAAAAUGUCCUGAUGAUGCAGAAAGACAAAUUCAAACUGCUAAAGGGAUCACUAUUGAAGGUCUCCAGUGCACUUGCUUUUCCUGGGUUUGGGUUGGUUUUGAACAUUUAAAAAGCUUCAUAUGCACGAAACUGGAGAAGC